CUAAAGCCAUAGAGAAACCCUGU
rnacentral:piRNA from 1 species